AUUGAACGCUGGCGGCAGGCCUAACACAUGCAAGUCGAACGAGUGGCGGACGGGAGAGUAAUGUCUGGGAAACUGCCUGAUGGAGGGGGAUAACUACUGGAAACGGUAGCUAAUACCGCAUACCAUCAGAAGUUACCAGAUGGGAUUAGCUUGUUGGUGGGGUACCGGCGCACCAAGGAGACGAUCCCUAGCUGGUCUGAGAGGAUGACCAGCCACACUGGAACUGAGACACGGUCCAGACUCCUACGGGAGGCAGCAGUGGGGAAUAUUGGACAAUGGGCGCAAGCCUGAUGCAGCCAUGCCGCGUGUAUGAAGAAGGCCUUCGGAUUGUAAAGUACUUUCAGCGGGGAGGCGUUACCCGCAGAAGAAGCACCGGCUAACUCCGUGCCAGCAGCCGCGGUAAUUC
rnacentral:rRNA from 1 species